AAAGAGGGGAAUCUCAUGAAGAAUGGAAGUAAUGGAGAUUUAGAUCUAAGAUAAUUAGAAGUUUAUCAUAUUUUGGUAUGUUCGACCCAUUGUAUAAAUAGGGGGGGG
rnacentral:sRNA from 1 species